rnacentral:rRNA from 1 species
AGAGUUUGAUCCUGGCUCAGAACGAACGCUGGCGGCAGGCCUAACACAUGCAAGUCGAGCGAGGUAGCAAUACCUAGCGGCGGACGGGUGAGUAACGCGUGGGAACGUGCCCUUUGCUUCGGAAUAGCCCUGGGAAACUGGGAGUAAUACCGAAUGUGCCCUACGGGGGAAAGAUUUAUCGGCAAAGGAUCGGCCCGCGUUGGAUUAGGUAGUUGGUGGGGUAAUGGCCUACCAAGCCGACGAUCCAUAGCUGGUUUGAGAGGAUGAUCAGCCACACUGGGACUGAGACACGGCCCAGACUCCUACGGGAGGCAGCAGUGGGGAAUCUUAGACAAUGGGCGCAAGCCUGAUCUAGCCAUGCCGCGUGAGCGAUGAAGGCCUUAGGGUUGUAAAGCUCUUUCGUGGGGGAAGAUAAUGACGGUACCCCAAGAAGAAGCCCCGGCUAACUCCGUGCCAGCCGCCGCGGU